AGAAGGAAACAUGAAGUGCUCUAAAAUUAGCCUGAAUGCACUGUAAGUCGCUUUGGAUAAAAGUUUUAAUUUCUUGGUAAUUUCUUUGUAAACGGGUGCAGUGACUUUGGUAUCCAAGCUUGAAUACAGCACGCUGUGAGCAGCCAGCUUCUUUGGCAAUGAAUGUUUGUGGCUUACCGUGCUUGUGAAGGGUGUGUCAUGGUUGUUUAACCGUGAUCUCGGGGUGUUUGCACUUUGUGGUGAUAUCUGUGUGUUUCGCGUCUGCACUGAUUAGCUUGUGGGCGUCUCUGUUAAUUGUCAUCAGCAACAGCUGCAACUCAUUACUCAUCCACUAUAUAUUGGCUUGUUUCAAGUCUUGUGUUUGUGAGAUUGUUGUUUCAUGUUUGAUGUGGUUACCCUGUUAGUUGGCUUAAGUGUUGUCUGCGUUGGAUGUCUGUGUUUUCCUCAGAACCUUCGGCUCUAUUCCCCGCAGUUCCUGUGCCAUCUUCUCCUGCUGCCUACUCACCGUCAUCAUCCGGACUAAUCACCUUCUCUCCGCCAUCAUCCGGAUUCCUCACCUUCUCACCACUACCACGGAGUGUCGUCUUCUCAGCCUCUUUGUUUAUUUGUGUCUUUGUAUUACACUCAGCUCAUUAAAACUGUUCACUCGCAUCUGCUUCCAGACUUUCCUUAAUCCACCAUCACUUAACGAUCUCACCACCAUGGAAGCAGCGAUCACCAAUACCCUCAUGGAUUUCAUGCACCACAGCGUCAAAAGAAUGGAUCAGCAGCAGGAGAGCAUCUCGAACACCGGACGCGCUGUCCAAGCGCUGGUGGCACAGGUGUCUGAGCUCACCCAGCAGAUCCAUCAACUAACGUCUCCCACUGCGCCCAUCGCACCGCCUGCUCCGUCCGUCCCCCGGGAGAUUCCCCAGGACCACUUCCGGCCAGAGCCGCGACUUCCGGCGCCGGAGAACUAUGCAGGUGAGCCAGCGUUUUGCAAAACUUUCUUAACUAAGUUUUCAAUGCAUUUCAACCUACAGCCCCGCACCUUCGCUACUGAGGAUUCUAAAGUAGCGUUCACGCUCACAUUAUUAUCUGGCAAGGCUGCCUUAUGGAGGAUGGCGGUGUGGGAAAAUCAACACCCGUGUUGUGCCUCGUUCCACGCCCUCUCUGAGGAAAUGAGAGUCUUCGACCGGGCCGCGACAGGGGAAGCCGCAGGGAAGCCGCUCAUCGACUCUCGGAACUCCGUCAAGGCUCUUCCUCAGUAACCGACUACUCCAUCGAGUUCCGCACCCUGGCGGCCGUGUGCCAGUGGAACGAGGCGGCGCAGUGGGAUAGAUUCCUGCAUGGGUUAUCCGACCGUGUUUAGCAAGAGAUCUACCUCCUCGAGCUGCCCCCUACUCUUAACGGACUCAUUGAGUUGGCUCUACAGAUUGACGCACGGAUUAAUCGCCUGGCCGCCAACCCAGUCCUUCAAGGUCUACCAUCUCUCCUGCUAGGGGGCACUUGAGUUGAGAGAACACGGUCGGUUCUGUUGACGACCACGAGCCCAUGCAGGUGGGUAGAGCUCGGCUGUCCCGGAGGGAGAGGGAACGGCGGAGGUCCCAAGGACUGUGUUUGUACUGUGGAGACUCUGCUCAUAACACCUACUCAUGCCCGGUAAAAGAGCCAGCCCGAUAGUAAACUUGAGUCUACUAUCGGGUGGGAUCACCGCUGAGAAGUCCUCAUCGACCCUCCUUCCGGUGAAACUGCGGUGGAAGAAUCAACAUCACGAAUGUCACGCCCCUUCUGGACUCCAGAGUCGAAGGUAAUUUCAUUGAUUCUUCACUUGCACAUCACUUGAACAUUCCUGUCCUUCCUGUGUCUCUCCCCAUCCAUGUCACCGCACUCAACGGCCAGGAACUGCCUCACGUCACACACCAUACUGAACCCAUCACACUGCUCACAUCUGGAAACCAUAAAGAAACCAUAUCCUUUUUUCUUAUGGACUGCCCCGUUGCUCCCAUUGUUUUAGGUCACCCCUGGUUAUCCAAGCAUAAUCCACGAGUGGAAUAGGGUUCUAACACUGUCACAAAAAUGUCAUGAGUCUUGUCUGGUUUCUGCUUGUCCUGUUGUCCCGGUUUCUGUCUUUCAGAAGGAGAACAUGGUUUUGCCAAACGUGCCCGUUGAGUAUCUGCACCUGAAGGAAGUGUUCGGUAAGUCCCGUGCUGCUUCUUUCCCUCCACAUCGUCCCUACGACUGUGCCAUAGACUUAGUGUCAGGUAAGUCUCCGCCUAAGGGCAAGUUAUACUCUCUUUCUAUUCCUGAGAGGGAGGCCAUGGAGAAAUACAUUUCUGAUUCCUUAGCCUCUGGGUUCAUCCGUCCUUCCUCUUCUCCAGCCGGAGCGGGGUUCUUUUUUUGUGGGUAAGAAGGAUGGUUCUCUGCGACCUUGCAUUGAUUACCGAGAGCUGAACAACAUCACUAUAAAGAAUACCUAUUCUUUACCACUCAUGUCUUCAGCUUUCAAGAGGUUGCAGGGAGCAUCCAUAUUCACAAAAUUGGAUUCACGUAAUGCUUAUCAUUUGGUCCGCAUCAGGAAGGGGGAUGAAUGGAAAACCGCCUUUAAUACCCCUAGAGGGCACUUUGAAUAAUUGGUAAUCUUGUAGAUGGGGAACCGACAUAUUCGGUUAAUCGUAUUCUGGACUUGAGAAGGAGGGGACAAGGAUUCCAGUAUGUGGUGGACUGGGAAGGUUACGGUACGGAGGAGAGGAGUUGGGUACCUGCUAGGGACAUAUUGGAUCACUCCCUUAUUUGACUACAAUCAGCAGGUAGGCCCUUCUGGGAACUCCAGGAGGAGUUCUUAGAGGGGGGGGGGGGUACUGUCACGGUUGGCAAUCCGUGAUCUCGGGGGGUUUUGCACUUUGUGGUGAUAUCUGUGUGUUUCGUGUCUGCACUGAUUAGCUUGUGGGCGUCUCUGUUAAUUGUCAUCAGCAACAGCUGCCCCUCAUUACUCAUCCACUAUAUAUUGGCUUGUCUCACGUCUUGUGUUUGUGAGCUCAUUGUUUCAUGUUUGAUGUGGUUACCCUGUUCGUUGGCUUAAGUGUUGUCUGCGUUGGAUGUCUGUGUUUUCCCCAGAACCUCAUCCACUCUUCGCACGUUCACUCAGCCACGGACCCUUACCUUCAGCUCUAUUCCCCGCAGUUCCUGUGCCAUCCUCUCCUGCUGCCUACUCCCGUCAUCCGGACUACUCACCUUCUCUCCGCCAUCAUCCGGAUUCCUCACCUCACCACCACCACCACGGAGGGUGUCAAUGAUUGUCUUCUGGACAACUGUCAGAUCAGCAGUCUUCCCCAUGAUUGUGUAACCUAGUGAACCAAACUGAGAGACCAUUUUGAAGGCUCAGGAAACCUUUGCAGGUGUUUUGAGUUCCUUGACUGAUUGGCAUGUCACCAUAUUCUAAUUCUAAUUUGGGUUGUGUUUUUGUUAAAUGUGAGCUAAAAUCAAAUAAAAGAACCGAAGACUUAAACCA